rnacentral:rRNA from 1 species
UUAGAGUUUGAUCCUGGCUCAGAUUGAACGCUGGCGGCAUGCCUUACACAUGCAAGUCGAACGGCAGCACGGGGGCAACCCUGGUGGCGAGUGGCGAACGGGUGAGUAACAUAUCGGAACGUGCCCUGGAGUGGGGGAUAACUAGUCGAAAGACUAGCUAAUACCGCAUACGAUCUAUGGAUGAAAGUGGGGGAUCGCAAGACCUCAUGCUCGUGGAGCGGCCGAUAUCUGAUUAGCUAGUUGGUGGGGUAAAGGCCUACCAAGGCAUCGAUCAGUAGCUGGUCUGAGAGGACGACCAGCCACACUGGGACUGAGACACGGCCCAGACUCCUACGGGAGGCAGCAGUGGGGAAUUUUGGACAAUGGGCGCAAGCCUGAUCCAGCAAUGCCGCGUGAGUGAAGAAGGCCUUCGGGUUGUAAAGCUCUUUUGUCAGGGAAGAAACGGGCUGGGCUAAUACCCUGGUCUAAUGACGGUACCUGAAGAAUAAGCACCGGCUAACUACGUGCCAGCAGCCGCGGUAAUACGUAGGGUGCAAGCGUUAAUCGGAAUUACUGGGCGUAAAGCGUGCGCAGGCGGUUGUGCAAGACCGAUGUGAAAU